CCAGACUGAACAGGGCAGGCGAUGGAGGGAGUCAGAGAGAGAGACAUUUUAUUAAAAAAAUCACUGGAAACUGCUCACAGAUUACAAACUUGAGAAAGGCUGGUGGUUAAAUAGCGAAGGAGUAAAGUGAGACUAGUUAUUGGCCCAAGAACUCUGCCAAUUAAGACACAUGAUCUCUGUAGGUGAAGUUCUAAUGUUAAUGUGGGGAACACAAAUGAAAGCUGGAUGCAGCAGGAUACCCAGAUGAGGGCAGGGCACCUAACAUGCCUGGAUAUUGUGUGUAUGUAAGUAAUUCUAAUGGUGGUACAACUCCUGUGCAUAAAGAACUGCUUAGGGGCCCCAGCCAUAGACCAGGACUCCACUGUGCUAGAUGCUGUAUAAAGACAGAACAAAGAGAUGGUCCCUGCCCUGAUAUGGCUGCAAUCCAAGUAUAAGAACAGAGACAAAAGAUGGUGUCUAAUGUGUGUCCACUACAAACUGCGGUCAAUGGGAGGAGUUACAAAGAGUAACCUUACAGCUGUUGAUUGUCUGGAAACGUUGAAGAUGAGUCCACCCUUAAGUGAAGGUGUCUUUAUGGGUGUUAGGUUUCACCUUGAUUUCUAUUCUUUUGCAGUACAGCUUUCUAACUUCGGAUUUUUGUUUUUGUUUUGUUUUGCUAAAUACUUGUCUGAUAUUGUCUGAGUCAUAAAUGUACACCACCACUUUCACCUAUGAAUUUCCAUGACACAUUAACUGUUUAAAGUAGCUUAUCCAUCUAUAGCAUUCAAUACUCAGUACAGAUUCAAUAAUAAACUCUCAUGGGAUCCCUUACUAAAGCACCACGUUGUCAUCCUCUAUUUCCACUGGCUAAGAAGAACUAAAUGGGGAAGAUCUGGAGUGGGUUGAACAACAUACUGUUUCCUUCCCUCCUUCCUGCCAUAAGUCUGUAAAGUCAAGCUCCACUGUUGUGAAGGGCACUGGAGCCAGGACAGUAGGGGGCACAGCUGAGAGACUGACACACUUCCUCACAUUGUCCUUACUCCAUCCUUCAAACCCAGGGCAUUUCAGUAGUGUAAGAUACUGAUGACUCCUUCACCCACCCUACUACCU